GACUGCGGACGGAUGAAUAGACGCUGCGGGUCACUGCGCUCUCCCCUGGGUGAGCAGAGCUUCUCACGCUUCUCACGGGUCUCGACGUGCGCAUCAGCUGCCCUGCUUUUCUUUGCUUUUUUUUUUUCCUUAAUUGCGGAGUCACAUGCAGUUGUAAGAAAUCAUUCACUUUGCCUAGUUUCCCCCAGUGUUACCACUUUGCAAAACUUUGCCAAAAAAAAAAGUCCAAUCUCACAACCAGGAUAUUGACUUUGAUACAGUCACCGAUCUUAUUCAGUUUUGCCGUUUUACUCGUCUUCCUUUGCAUGUAUUAGUUUUACACAAUGUAAUCAUCUGUGUACCUUCCCGUAUCCACCCCCACCUGGCCACUCCUGUGGCGAUUUUACAGCCGCACCCCGGAGCCCUGGCAUCACUAAUCUUUCCUCUAUUUCUAAAAUUGUUUUAUUUCAGAAAUGUUAUGUUUAGAUACAGGAAUCAUACAGCGCCUAAUUUUUUGAAAUUGGCUUUCUUCACUCGUUAGUCUAAUUCCCUGCAGGUUCACGUCUUGCUUUUUUACACGAGUUUCCUCUCAGAAAGUAACUUUUUUUAAAAAAUUACCCAACAGCAAAUCUAAAGUCCAUUUCAAAUGCAAGAGUUCCCUCAUCCUUUCCUAAAUAACAGCCUCUUUUUACAGGUAGAACAGAUGGUUUGAAAAGGAAAGAUUUUUUUUUCACAUAUGGGGAAAAAAAAUUCCCAGCCUUGGAAGGAUAUUUGGGUUAGAGGCCGAAGUGCAUCACAGAUCACGCACGCGUCCACACCUCAGAAAACACUCACUCAUUCCUGAGACGCAACGUCUCCGGCACACAGCUCCGCAGCUGGGGGUGACUAAGAGCCCACACCACGCAAGUAAUAAAACGCUCCAAUUUCAUUUAUUUAAUCAUCUGUGUGCUUCAUUUGACAAAUAUUUAUGGAGUGUCUGCUGCUAGCUCAGUGCCUGGUGCCUGGGACUGAAGACCAGAGCCCCCUGGAGACCAAAAGAGCCAGCUCCCAGCUGUGAGCAGAUCGGGUCCAAAGAUCACGGGCUCGGCGGCAGGAACCUGGUUUGGUAUCCGGCUCCUCUGCGGACUUUGAAGUGCUUUACCGAUUCACAUGACAACUGGUAAAACGAAAACAAACACCUUUCCAGGAAUUGUGAAUUCGAGUUCCAGACCCUCUGGGAUUCCGGGAGCGCAGCUGCUAUUUAUGUUAACAGUCAUUGGUCCCAGGCUGGUGAGGUUAGAAUUUCCAAGUAUAAAAGUAAUUUAGUUUCGUUUUAAAUACAUUUUAGGGCCAAAGAAAAGUGGAACGAUUUAAAGAAAAAGAUGAAAUGAAUAAUAGGGCAAGUUGGGAGGUGGCUGUCCUGAGGUUUCAUGGGACAACAUUAAUUAACCUCAUGAAGUGCCUGCAUGGACAACGUGCCCGGUGUGGUUACAAACAAACCAAUCAGCACAGAUCCUGGGUGGAAAGCAGGGCGCAGCCACGGAGGCACAGUAGGGGUGCAGACUUGAAGGUUUUUAGGAGGUAAGCCCCGAGGGCACGAAGCUCCACGGAGAGACUGUUGACCCGCCUGGGAGUGCAGUGCAGGUGGAUGAGAGUGGGACACCUGCCAGUUGUUUGCAUCAGCAGACACUCAGAGUCCAUGGAAAAAAUGAGCCUAGAGGUUUUUAAACCACAACACAAGCAAAAGGCACCUGGUCCCGUUCCUCUUAAGACAGAAGAAAGAGGCGUAAAACCAGCUCCAGGUGCCACCCUUAAGAAAUGUUACAGUGCCGGAUGGGAAGAGUAAACCCUGAACAUCUCUUCUUAAUACUUUACAGACUUCAAGUGUAUUUUAUGGUGACAAAGCAUAUUGAAGACAAAUGAAACUCUACAACCCUGAAAA
rnacentral:lncRNA from 1 species